CCSGCGUUSCCAUUUAAGCUAGGUUGCGUGSAGGUAACGGCYYCCWCCAAAGGGCAACGAAUGCGUAGCCGACCUGRRGAGGGGKGAUUCGGCKACACUGGGACUGAAGACMACGGCCCAARACUCUACGGGAGGCAGCAGUAUGGGAAUCUUCCGCAAUGGACGAAAAGUCUGACGGAGCAACGCCGSGUGAGUGAUGAAAGGCUUUCGGGUCGUAAAACUCUGUUGUUAGGGAAGAACAAGUGCUAGUUGAAUAAGCUGGCACCUUGACGGUACCUAACCAGAAAGCCACGGCUAACUACGUGCCAGCAGCCGCGGUAAUACGUAGGUCACAAGCGUUAUCCGGAAUUAUUGGGCGUAAAGCGCGCGCAGGUGGUUUCUUAAGUCUGAUGUGAAAGCCCACGGCUCAACCGUGGAGGGUCAUUGGAAACUGGGAGACUUGAGUGCAGAAGAGGAAAGUGGAAUUCCAUGUGUAGCGGUGAAAUGCGUAGAGAUAUGGAGGAACACCAGUGGCGAAGGCGACUUUCUGGUCUGUAACUGACACUGAGGCGCGAAAGCGUGGGGAGCAAACAGGAUUAGAUACCCUGGUAGUCCACGCCGUAAACGAUGAGUGCUAAGUGUUAGAGGGUUUCCGCCCUUUAGUGCUGAAGUUAACGCAUUAAGCACUCCGCCUGGGGAGUACGGCCGCAAGGCUGAAACUCAAAGGAAUUGACGGGGGCCCGCACAARCGGUGGAGCAUGUGGUUUAAUUCGAAGCAACGCGAAGAACCUUACCAGGUCUUGACAUCCUCUGAAAACCCUAGAGAUAGGGCUUCUCCUUCGGGAGCAGAGUGACAGGUGGUGCAUGGUUGUCGUCAGCUCGUGUCGUGAGAUGUUGGGUUAAGUCCCGCAACGAGCGCAACCCUUGAUCUUAGUUGCCAUCAUUAAGUUGGGCACUCUAAGGUGACUGCCGGUGACAAACCGGAGGAARGUGGGGAUGACGUCAAAUCAUCAUGCCCCUUAUGACCUGGGCUACACACGUGCUACAAUGGACGGUACAAAGAGCUGCAAGACCGCGAGGUGGAGCUAAUCUCAUAAAACCGUUCUCUGUUCCGAUUGUAGGCUGCAACUCGCCUACAUGAAGCCUGGAAUCGC
rnacentral:rRNA from 1 species